rnacentral:miRNA from 1 species
GAAUUUCCAUGUUUGCUCAAUGGCUGCCAUACUGCUUGUUUUAGUAUGGUAAAAAAAAGCAGUAUGGUAGCCAUUGAGCUACUUGAAAUAUU